CCCUUAGAUGUCCGGGGCCGCACGCGCGCUACAAUGGAUGAAUCAACGCGUCAUCCUGGCCCGAAAGGGUUGGGGAACCGCUGAACCUCAUCCGUGGUUGGGAUUGGGGUUUGUAAUUAUUCCCCAUGAACUAGGAAUUCCCAGUAAGCGCGAGUCAUAAGCUCGCGUUGAUUACGUCCCUGCCCUUUGUACACACCGCCCGUCGCUACUACCGAGUGGAUGGUUUAGUGAGAUCCUCGGAUUGGUCACGGCACGGUGGCAACACUGCGUCGGUGUGCCGAGAAGACGAUCAAACUUGAUCAUCUAGAGGAAGUAAAAGUCGUAACA
rnacentral:rRNA from 1 species